rnacentral:misc_RNA from 1 species
AACUUUCGACAAUGGAUCUCUUGGCUCUCGCAUCGAUGAAGAACGCAGCGAAAUGCGAUAAGUACUGUGAAUUGCAGAAUUCAGUGAAUCAUCGAAUCUUUGAACGCACCUUGCGCUCUUUGGUAUUCCGAAGAGCAUGCCUGUUUGAGCGUAAUGAACAUAUCACCCUUGACUUGGGUUUAGUGCUCUUGUCUUGGCUUGGAUUUGGCUGUUUGCCGCUCGAAAGAGUCGCUUCUGCCUAAAAGUAUUGGCUGGAUGUGGGUUUGAGCCUUGGUUUGACUUGGCGUAUUAAGUUAUUUCGCUUAGGACAAUCUUCGGAUUGGCCGAGUUUCUGGGUCGUUUGUCCGCUUGCUAAUACAAGUUCUAGCUUGCUAGUCAUGACUUUUUUAUAAUCUGGCCUCAAAUCAGGUAGGACUUCCCGCUGAACUUAAGCAUAUCAAUAAGCGGAGGCU